rnacentral:rRNA from 1 species
GAUGAACGCUGGCGGCGUGCUUAACACAUGCAAGUCGAACGAAACACCUUAUUUGAUUUUCUUCGGAACUGAAGAUUUGGUGAUUGAGUGGCGGACGGGUGAGUAACGCGUGGGUAACCUGCCCUGUACAGGGGGAUAACAGUCAGAAAUGACUGCUAAUACCGCAUAAGACCACAGCACCGCAUGGUGCAGGGGUAAAAACUCCGGUGGUACAGGAUGGACCCGCGUCUGAUUAGCUGGUUGGUGAGGUAACGGCUCACCAAGGCGACGAUCAGUAGCCGGCUUGAGAGAGUGAACGGCCACAUUGGGACUGAGACACGGCCCAAACUCCUACGGGAGGCAGCAGUGGGGAAUAUUGCACAAUGGGGGAAACCCUGAUGCAGCGACACCGCGUGAGUGAAGAAGUAUCUCGGUAUGUAAAGCUCUAUCAGCAGGGAAGAAAAUGACGGUACCUGACUAAGAAGCCCCGGCUAACUACGUGCCAGCAGCCGCGGUAAUACGUAGGGGGCAAGCGUUAUCCGGAAUUACUGGGUGUAAAGGGUGCGUAGGUGGUAUGGCAAGUCAGAAGUGAAAACCCAGGGCUUAACUCUGGGACUGCUUUUGAAACUGUCA